rnacentral:rRNA from 1 species
UAGGGAAUCUUCGGCAAUGGACGAAAGUCUGACCGAGCAACGCCGCGUGAGUGAAGAAGGUUUUCGGAUCGUAAAACUCUGUUGUUAGAGAAGAACAAGGACGUUAGUAACUGAACGUCCCCUGACGGUAUCUAACCAGAAAGCCACGGCUAACUACGUGCCAGCAGCCGCUGUAAUACGUAGGUGGCAAGCGUUGUCCGGAUUUAUUGGGCGUAAAGCGAGCGCAGGCGGUUUCUUAAGUCUGAUGUGAAAGCCCCCGGCUCAACCGGGGAGGGUCAUUGGAAACUGGGAGACCUGAGUGCAGAAGAGGAGAGUGGAAUUCCAUGUGUAGCGGUGAAAUGCGUAGAUAUAUGGAGGAACACCAGUGGCGAAGGCGGCUCUCUGGUCUGUAACUGACGCUGAGGCUCGAAAGCGUGGGGAGCAAACAGG